rnacentral:rRNA from 1 species
UUGACCUCGGAUCAGGUAGGGAUACCCGCUGAACUUAAGCAUAUCAAUAAGCGGAGGAAAAGAAACCAACAGGGAUUGCCCCAGUAACGGCGAGUGAAGCGGCAAGAGCUCAAAUUUGAAAGCUGGCUCCUUCGGGGCCCGCAUUGUAAUUUGCAGAGGAUGCUUCGGGAGCGGUCCCCAUCUAAGUUCCCUGGAACGGGACGUCAUAGAGGGUGAGAAUCCCGUAUGGGAUGGGGUGUCCGCGCCCGUGUGAAGCUCCUUCGACGAGUCGAGUUGUUUGGGAAUGCAGCUCUAAAUGGGUGGUAAAUUUCAUCUAAAGCUAAAUAUUGGCCGGAGACCGAUAGCGCACAAGUAGAGUGAUCGAAAGAUGAAAAGCACUUUGAAAAGAGAGUUAAAAAGCACGUGAAAUUGUUGAAAGGGAAGCGCUUGCGACCAGACUCGCUCGCGGGGUUCAGCCGGCAUUCGUGCCGGUGUACUUCCCCGCGGGCGGGCCAGCGUCGGUUUGGGCGGUCGGUCAAAGGCUCUCGGAAGGUAACGCCCCCUCGGGGGCGUCUUAUAGCCGAGGGUGCAAUGCGACCUGCCUGGACCGAGGAACGCGCUUCGGCUCGGACGCUGGCAUAAUGGUCGUAAGCGACC